GGCAGAAAUGGAGUUUCCAGUCUCUGUGGCCACUGGGCAAUUUUCUGUGCAGAACAUCCCUGUGUGGAAAAGCUGCUGAAGGCUGUCCCCUGGAACAGAACCACUUCACUCUCAGCUCCUCCAGCUCUCAUUCCAUGCAGGUGUAAUUGCACUGGGACCGAGCUGCAGGAAAGAACUUGAAGUGGUUAUUCCUUGGCAUGUGUAUGAUCAAAGAGUCUUUUGCAGAGGUGUGAUCCCACAUCUUGAAUUCAGGGUUUCAUCAAAGCUGCUGCUCUACUGGCCCACAUACAGGAGCUUUAGAAGUCACCUGCAGUGACCUAGAAGAGGAUAUGCCUUAAAAUAUCACUGACAGGUGGAUAAUAGAAAUGUUCUGGACAGUCAGAGAGCUGCUGGAGAUGACAUAUGAGAAGAAAAUCACUGCUGGAGUACAUUUGAGGAGGGCCUAGCUUCUAGCUAUCUGUGUAACUGGUGAGAUCAAAGAACUUUUACAUGUGCUUGCUUUUAAACUUCACUGAAUCCAGAGCUGGGCAGGGGGAGGCAAGGAGAAGAAGAGGCAACUCUGGAAGACUGAGGCAGUGCUGGAAAAGUGUUCCCAGAUAUCUUCCCAAAGAGCAAAAUCUGAGAGUGUGGCUGUUUGCUGCUCCUGGAAAAGCUCCCUGUGUGUCCAGCCACAUGCAGACCUUAACUCAUCACCUGACCAUGGAUCACCAAGGAAGCUGCUAAUACCUGUGAAAUUUGGUCCUACCAUGAAAAACUGGUUGUUAGUAUGGCACUCCAUCCUUCAGUAAAUAUGUUCCAUGUGGAUAUUUAUAGUCCUGCCUGCUCCCUUCAGUGAGAACAGGACGUUCUUCCUCCCAUGAGCUCUGUACAGCUGCCAGGAGAGAUGGUGGAAGCCUUUCCUCCCCUCACCUACUGUGGAUGUUCAUUGGUUUCAUUUCCACAGCCCCUGCAAUACCCAAGGAUCUGUAGCCUGCAAAAUUGAAUUACUGAGCAUCCCCUAAAUCUGCCACUCCUCACACAGCUCUGGUCUCUUCUGAACUCAACCAGAACCAUCAGCUCUCAGGCAGGCAUGUGCAGAUGGAUCCCUGGAGCAUCUGUAGGACACAUUUAUUCAAUCUGGAUGCUGAUCUGAAAUGUCCUUUAGUGUGGAAAACACAGCUGCUGUGAGCAGAGGAAAUGAUGUAACCAGCUGAGUGAGUUUGUGGAGUUUGAAGGGGCUCCUCUGGACAGAAAAGGUGUUUGUGGCUCCUGGGGCUGGACCUGCACACUGCUCACUGCCUGUGCCUUCACUCUCAGCUGGCCUCAAUCCACACCUGCACUUUGUUCUUAGCUUCUCCCAGCUGCAAAGAAGUCACCCAGAUGGAAAUCACUUGUUUGGCUCUCUGUGAACAAAACCAAAUCCCUCUGGGGAGUUUCCAUCCAGCCAUCUAAAAGCUUGGCACAAAUUUGGAAGUACAGAGGAAUUUCUUGAAUUACAACUUUCUAACAACAUUUUCCAAAACUCACAGGUUGAAUUUGGCCUGAGCUUUAGAAAAUAUUCUGGCAAAAACUUGUUAGGUGCAAGCUGUUUCCCUUUCCUUUAAAGCAACAUGAAAAAAAGAAGGAAAAGCUGAGUUUCAGUUCUACAAACAGUUCAGUGCUGGCUCAGUGGCUCCACUCCACUCCUCUGUUGCCUCUUCCCUUUCUACCUGGAGUGCCUUGAGACCACACAUUCAGAGAUUUUGGGAAAAUUUAGGAAGAACAAGUGCUGUGGAAAUCUUAUCUCAUUAUUUUGGUUUGGUUUAUUUCUUUAAAUCAAUCAAACAGUUAAAACAAACCAUGCAUGCAUUUGCAACACCACAGUUAACCACAUUUUAGGGAUGGUGAUAUUCAUGGGCAGCAAAACCUAUAGGAAACAUAUGAAGUCUCUCCAACUGUAGCCCCUAUUUUUUCCCUCAUGUCACAAAGUCAUUGAUUCUUUAGAAUUUCCCAAAUGUUUCCAGAGUAAAAGCAAUGCCUUGCAGUGGGUUUGACACUAUUUUUGCCACGGUCAAAGUGAAAGCUCCCAUUGUCAGAAGCAAAACCCUGGAGGGAAUGUGCCAGCCAGGAGAGAUUAAAUGUUCUUUGUAUUGUACAGCAAAAAGCGUUGUAAGGUUGAUUACAAUAAAAGCUUUCCAAA